AUUCUGCAUAUUUCUUCUCUUACAGAGAGGGCAAACAAGGACAGAUAUCAGUUACAAGAUGUGUGGAACACAUAGAUAAUCUAGCACUCUAUUGGGAAGCUCAUUUGUGUGAAGAAGAUCCAGUAACUUUCCACUUACAUCACCCAGUCUCUUAAAUCUUAUUUUUCCUCAACCUCCCUGAUUCCUCUUUCCUCAUUUUUUCACUCCUCUGAACAUCACAGAACAGAAGGUUUACAUCAAUUAAAAGGUUGGCUUGGAUUCUCUAACAGGCUACCAGGUUCCAGACGCUACCAUGAUGCCAGCCUGACUUCCCUGGGUAGACCACCUCACCAAUAUGUCCUGGAACCCUACCUCUCCAGAGCCCUGCCCCACUAGGGAAAGAGAGAGACAGGCUGGGAGUAUGAAUUGACCUGCCAAUGCCCAGAUUAUUUAAAACAAUGGUGAAGAAAUGCACUAGAGGAGAAACAACCAGAUAAAGCAAUGAAAAAUCAACCAGAACAUUGCAACAUUGAAACAGGAAGAUUUGAACAAAAAAAAAAAAAAAAAAAAAAAAGGAGUGACAGUUGCAGAAACUACCAUGAUUCCAUUCUGAUUUCUCUAGGUAGACAACCUCACCAACGUGUCCUGGAACCUCGCCUCUCCAGAGCUCUACCCAACUAGAUAAAGGUAGAAACAUAUUGGGGGUAUGGAUUGACCUGCCAAUGCCUAUGUCGAGUGCAGAAGCAAUUACAUAAGCCGGAACUAUUACCUUAUGCACCCCAACAAUAAUUUUGAUCUAUACACCCAGUAGGGGAGAAGUGAUAGGAGGAAAAGGAUAAGAGGGUUAUCAGGACCCAGAGAGAGAAGAGGAAAAAGGAAGGGACAUUUGGAUGCAGUAAUAGGUUAUGUAUGGUUUGGAAAGGAAGAGAAGAUGGAACCAUUAAAAAAAGGGGAGGCAAUUAUAAUUUCUUCCUUAAUUUCUUCUUUGACCCAGUAGUUGGCAGUACUCUUUUCCACCUAAACUUUACAGGCAUAUUUAAUGAUACAAAUCCAAUUACAGAGAAGACUGAAACAAAAAUAAACCAGUAGGACUACAUCAAAUUAAAAAGCUUCUACACAGCAAAAGAAACCACCACCCAAACAAUGAGACCCUUUACAGAAUGGAAGAAGACCUUUACAUGCCACACAUCAGACAGGAGACUAAUAACCAAAAUAUAUAAAGAGCUUACCAAACUCAGUAACAAGAAAAUGACUCUAUCCAAAAAUGAGGAGAGAAUAUGAACAGAAUAUUCACCAAAGAAGAGAUCCAAAAGGCCAAAAAAACAAAAAGAAAAAAUGUUCCAAGUUAAUGAUUGUCAGAAAAAUGCAAAUAAACACAGUAAGAUACCACUUCACUACUGUGAGAAUGUCAUAUGUCAGAAAAGGUAGCAGUAACAAAUGUUGGAGAGGCUUUCGGGACAAAGGAACCCUCCUGGACUUCUGGUAGGAAUGUAAAUUCAUCCAGUUCCUGUGGAGAGCAGCCUAGAGAACUCUCAGAAGGCUAUAAGUGGACCUACCCUAUGGCCCUGCAAUUCGUCUCUUGGAGAUACAUCCCAAGAAACCAAACACACCCAUGCAAAAAGAUUUGUGUAUACCUAUGUUCAUAGCAGUAAAAAUUUGUAAUAGCCAAAAACCUGGAAACACCCCAGGAGCCCAACAACAAAUGAAUUGCUAUGCAGAGCUAGCGUGAGGGUAUUUCUUCCCAGGCACAUGUUCUCUGGGUUGGAGAGAACUCGACCAGAGCCA